UACGGGGGGAGCAAGCGUUGUUCGGAUUUACUGGGCGUAAAGGGCGCGUAGGCGGUCGUGACAAGUCACUUGUGAAAUCUCCGGGCUUAACUCGGAAACUGCCAUUGAUACUAUCAGUCUUGAAUACCGUGGAGGUAAGCGGAAUAUGUCAUGUAGCGGUGAAAUGCUUAGAUAUGACAUAGAACACCAAUUGCGAAGGCAGCUUACUACCCGAAUAUUGACACUGAGGCACGAAAGCGUGGGGAUCAAACAGG
rnacentral:rRNA from 1 species